rnacentral:rRNA from 1 species
GAUGAACGCUGGCGGUAUGCCUUACACAUGCAAGUCGUACGAGAGUUUUUAACUCAAGUGGCGGACGGGUGAGUAACACGUAAGAAUUUGCCUUUAGGAGGGGGACAACAACUGGAAACGGUUGCUAAUACCCCAUAUGCUUUCGAGUGAAACGGAUUUUUCCGCCUAGAGAGAAGCUUGCGGCUGAUUAGCUUGUUGGUAAGGUAAUGGCUUACCAAGGCGACGAUCAGUAUCUGGUUUGAGAGGACGAUCAGACACACUGGAACUGAGACACGGUCCAGACUCCUACGGGAGGCAGCAGUGGGGAAUUUUCCGCAAUGGGCGAAAGCCUGACGGAGCAAUACCGCGUGAGGGAUGACGGCCUAUGGGUUGUAAACCUCUUUUUUCAGGGA